AAGUCGUAACAAGGUUUCCGUAGGUGAACCUGCGGAAGGAUCAUUACCGAGUUAGGGUCUUUCAGGCCCGACCUCCAACCCUGUGUCUAAACUACCGUGUUGUUUUGGCGGGCCCGACCAGAAAUGGUCCGCCGGAGGCGCGCAUGAGCGUCUCUGGCCCGCGCCCGUCAACGGCCUCCACAAAUUCUCUUUACAACCGUGUCGUCUGAAUCUAAAAGCAAAAUAUUGCAAAACUUUCAACAACGGAUCUCUUGGUUCUGGCAUCGAUGAAGAACGCAGCGAAAUGCGAUAAGUAAUGCGAAUUGCAGAAUUCCAGUGAGUCAUCGAAUCUUUGAACGCACAUUGCGCCCUUUGGUAUUCCGAAGGGCAUGCCUGUUCGAGCGUCAUUAUCAACCAUCAAGCCUGGCUUGUCGCUGGACCCCCUUCGCCGUGUCCCCUCACGGCGAGGUCCGAAAGAUAAUGGCGGUGUCGCGUUGACCCCACGUACAAUGAGCUUCACGGCACGUACGGCGGCGGCGCAACCGGCCCGGUAUCCCUUUUUUAUAUCUUCAAAAAGUUGACCUCGGAUCAGGUAGGAAUACCCGCUGAACUUAAGCGUAUCAAUAAGCGGAGGAAAAGAAACCAACAGGGAUUACCCUAGUAACGGCGAGUGAAGCGGUAACAGCUCAAAUUUGAAAUCUGGUCUUCACGGGCCCGAGUUGUAAUUUGUAGAGGAUGUUUCGGGCAAGGCCCAGGCUUAAGUUUCUUGGAACAGAACGUCAUAGAGGGUGAGAGUCCCGUCUAGAGCCGCCGGCCGCGUCCAUGUGAAACUCCUUCGACGAGUCGAGUUGUUUGGGAAUGCAGCUCAAAAUGGGUGGUAAAUUUCAUCUAAAGCUAAAUAUUGGCCAGAGACCGAUAGCGCACAAGUAGAGUGAUCGAAAGAUGAAAAGCACUUUGAAAAGAGAGUUAAACAGUAUGUGAAAUUGUUGAAAGAGAAGCGCUUGUAACCAGACUUGUGUGUGUCGGUUCCCCCGGUCUUUUGACCAGGUUAUUCCGUCACGUCCAGGCCAGCAUCGGUUCGGGUGGUCGGCUAAAGGUCUUGGGAAUGUAUCUACCUCCGGGUCGACUUAUAGCCCAAGGCGUCAUGCGGCCUACCUGGACCGAGGAACGCGCUUUUGCUCGGAUGCUGGCGUAAUGGUUAUAAGCGGCC
rnacentral:rRNA from 1 species